GAUGUAUCUCAGUGGUAGAGCACUUGCCUGGCAUGCAUGAGGCCUUGGAUUCAAUCCCCAAUAUC
rnacentral:tRNA from 1 species